CCGGGGGUCUUUCGGAAACAGCCUUUCUACUUCAUCAGAGGUAGAGGUAUGGACUGCGUACAUCUUACCCCCCAGACCCCACUAAGUGGGAAUACACUGGGUUUGUUGUUGUUGUUGUUGUAUCUUAUCCUAAGCAGUAGGCAGUGAGCACUAAGCAGUAAGUAGGGGUGGCAAAAUGGGUUUAAAAAAUGGAUAACCAUCCAACCCAACCCACUUAAAAUGGGCUGGAUAUCCAAUCCUUUCAAACUAGAUUUAAAAUGGGCUGACCCAUAUUAUCCACCCAAAAUAUGGAUAAUUUAUGGAUAAAAUGGGUAAAUAAACCCUAAAACCCAAUUUGCAAAAAUGGAGAGAACAGUACGCGAAUUCUAAGGCUUCACCCAAUUGCAACCUCUUCCUUCUGCCAGCACCACCCAAGCUCCGUCCAAUACCACCCAGGCUCCGUCCAACAACAGCCAAGCUCCGGCGAACACCUCCCAAGCUCUGUCAACUUCUCCGGAUAGAAUUUGCAAACUGCAAGGAGGCAUCGAGUUUCUUGAGCACUGUGGAUUCGAGAAAAUUGAAGGGGGUGGAUUCUUGUACCUGCCAAGAGAAAAAGUGGACAUGGCAGUACUUAAUACUGCUGGAACUGAGUUGAACAAUGCCAUUAAAAAUCUUCUUUGGAGUCCUCUAAAUCUUAUACAUUACUUCAGAUAAAUUGUUCAGAUAAAUUGUGAAGGUUUGAUGGACUCAUGUUCCUUUUGAACCAUUUUUUAUUACAAGUUGAAGGGAUUAAGUUGAUGUUGAAA